rnacentral:rRNA from 1 species
GGGCUCGAACGUAAGAUGACUGUAGGUGAAAGCUUACAUCUCUUCGGAGCAUUUACGAGGUGCUGCAUGGUUGUCGUCAGCUCGUGCCGUGAGGUGUCGGGUUAAGUCCCAUAACGAGCGCAACCCCUACCUUUAGUUGCCAUCAGGUAAUGCUGGGGACUCUAAAGGAACUGCCUACGCAAGUAGUGAGGAAGGCGGGGAUGACGUCAAAUCAGCACGGCCCUUACGUCCAGGGCUACACACGUGCUACAAUGGCCGAUACAGAGGGCAGCUACCUGGUGACAGGAUGCAAAUCUCCAAAGUCGGUCUCAGUUCGGAUCGGAGUCUGCAACCCGACUCCGUGAAGUUGGAUUCGCUAGUAAUCGCGCAUCAGCCAUGGCGCGGUGAAUACGUUCCCGGGCCUU